rnacentral:lncRNA from 1 species
AAAGACCAAUGAAGCAUAGUUUACAACAAAUUCUUUUAUCAAUAAUAAAAUCAUCGCUAUCCACUUACCUCGGUGAAAUUCAUAAAACAAUAUACGAAAGCAAUAACAUUAUCAUCAUCAUGAAAUCACAUUUAAAUCUUUAAACAGCAUAAUUCCUCUCAUUUACCAGCCUACUAGUAUCCAUAGGGAUCCAUAGGGGUCCCGUUACCCGUGAACCCUUAACACUUGUAAUCAGAUUCCAGGGUCAUCCCCAUACCCCGUCCGGUAUGGGCGCCAAAACUAUAAACCUCAAUACUCCGUCCGGUAUGAGGGUGAAACGAGCCGUCCCCAUACCCCGUCCGGUAUGGGCGCCAAAACUAUAAACCUCAAUACCCCGUCCAGUAUUAGGGUGAAAUGGGCCGUCCCCAUACUCCGUCCGGUAUGGGCGCCAAAACACAUAAGGUCUCCAUACCCCGUCCGGUAUGAGAGACCACAAUCUCGGUAGGGUUCCCUACGGACCCGGUCCGUCCACCAUCUCCCAGGAUAUCUAGUCAGGCUGACCACAUUAUACAAUUAUCAAUUUACAUAA